GAAGCUCUCGCACGCUGGGCCCCAGGCUUCCACAGCGCUUAGCACUUUCUAACCAGUCCUCACCGUGGCCUCGGCCACUUGGCUAACUUCCCCCCUGUCCCCUCUGAGCUUUCUACAGAGCAGUGGCGCAUCUGACGCUGCCCCACGCCCCCUCCCUCCCCGCCACGAGGAGCCUAAGGAGGAGCCCCUAAAGGGCAACAGCCUGGACGCCCACCAAGGAGACGAUCGAGCUCGACCGAAGCCAGCGGGGUACCAGACAGGAGGGGAGCACCUCCGGGGGCCACGACAUUGUCUCCCUUCCUCUUCACCACAGCCCAUGGACGAUAAAAGAGCUGUCAGUAGUCUCCCUUCUGGAAACUGGAAGGAUCCGCAUGGAGCUCAGACCCCUCGAGUCAACGGAAGCCAGGCUCUGCUUGGUCAUCCCUGAGGCCGUGGAUCUCAUCCAGCAAGGGAGGCUGUGCCCCCAGCGGAACGUGUGGGCUCUGCGAGCGUCCGCCCCCCUGGGGUCCCCGGGGUCCCACCUUCCUAGCAACAUCCAGAUGUGUCAUCAUUCCAGGGGUCUGAUUAGCUGUAGAACGUGCUAUUUCCUUGUUCUCAGGAUUCAUCUGCGUUAACUCUGCUGCUAAUUGGGUUUGUAUCUGGCAGCGGUGACAUCGAAAAAAAGGUUUUGUAGUCAAUUAUGUUCUCCCGGAACACACUGGAAGGGGGUGUCCUGUCAAUGCUGAGGGGCUCCCUACCUUAAUGAGCCCCAGACAAAGGCACAAAAGGACAUUAUGGUCCCUGAGCACCUGUCCUUAGUGGCUUCUGUAGAACAAGAAACUGAAGCUCUAUCUGGGCCCUGCGUGCGUGGGCUUUGCUGCACUUUCAAAUGGCCCGUUUCCCGUGGCGCGCAUCUGAGUGUGAUCAGAGUGUGAUCAGGUGUGUCAGGGCCACUUGGAAAAAUCGUCCCCGAGGAAAUGAAAUGUGCAAAGGCCCUUCCUGCAGCCUGAGGAUGGCAGGUUGGGUUUAACUGCACCGAAGCCGGGGAAACGGACACUUAGGGUCCCCGCCGCCCCCAGAACAGCAGCACCCACAGCCCACACCUGGAGGAAGAGAAAUGGAAUUCUUCCCGCAAGUUCUUUUUCGGGCCCAGAACAAAUCAUUCUUCUACUGUUUUAACAUCCUGAGUGUGGGUGGAAGCAAUGCUUACUUACGUCUUAUGGAAAAGAUGGGGUGUUUAUAGAAGAAGCAUCUAGCCAACCGGGGCGAU
rnacentral:lncRNA from 1 species